rnacentral:rRNA from 1 species
AUUGAACGCUGGCGGCAUGCCUUACACAUGCAAGUCGAACGGUAACGGGCCUUCGGGUGCCGACGAGUGGCGAACGGGUGAGUAAUGCAUCGGAACGUACCUUUCAGUGGGGGAUAACGUAGCGAAAGUUACGCUAAUACCGCAUAUUCUGUGAGCAGGAAAGCAGGGGAUCGCAAGACCUUGCGCUGAUUGAGCGGCCGAUGUCAGAUUAGCUAGUUGGUGAGGUAAAGGCUCACCAAGGUGACGAUCUGUAGCGGGUCUGAGAGGAUGAUCCGCCACACUGGGACUGUGACACGGCCCAGACUCCUACGGGAGGCAGCAGUGGGGAAUUUUGGACAAUGGGGGCAACCCUGAUCCAGCCAUGCCGCGUGAGUGGAGAAGGCCGUCGGGUUGUAAAGCUCUUUCGUCCGGGAAGAAAUCGCACGGGCUAAUACCCUGUGUGGAUGACGGUACCGGAAUAAGAAGCACCGGCUAACUACGUGCCAGCCGCCGCAGUAACAC